UGAGCAACCUGCCCUUCUCAUCGGAAUAAAGCGUUGGAAACGACGUCUAAUGCCGAAUACGACCUCCUUUCGCAUGAUCGGAGGUGGAAAGCUCCGGCGGAGAAGGAUGAGCUCGCGGCCUAUCAGCUAGUUGGUGUGGGUAAUGGCCCACCAAGGCGACGACGGGUAGCCGGCCUGAGAGGGUGACCGGCCACACUGGGACUGAGACACGGCCCAGACUCCUACGGGA
rnacentral:rRNA from 1 species